GCCGAGGUGGUGGAAUGGUAGACACCGGGGACUUAAAAUCCCCUGGUCGCAAGGCCGUGUGAGUUCGAAUCUCAUCCUCGGCA
rnacentral:tRNA from 1 species